GAUGAACGCUGGCGGCGUGCCUAAUACAUGCAAGUCGAGCGAACAGACGAGGAGCUUGCCCCUCUGACGUUAGCGGCGGACGGGUGAGUAACACGUGGAUAACCUACCUAUAAGACUGGGAUAACUUCGGGAAACCGGAGCUAAUACCGGAUAAUAUAUUGAACCGCAUGGUUCAAUAGUGAAAGACGGUUUUGCUGUCACUUAUAGCUGGAUCCGCGCCGCAUUAGCUAGUUGGUAAGGUAACGGCUUACCAAGGCAACCAUGCGUAGCCGAACUGAGAGAGUGAUCGGCCACACUAGAACUGAGACACGGUCCAGGCUCCUACGGGAGGCAGCAGUAGGGAAUGUUCCGCAAUGGGCGAAAGCCUGACGGAGCAAGGGCGCGUGAGUGAUGAAGGUCUUCGGAUCGUAAAACUCUGUUAUUAGGGAAGAACAAAUGUGUAAGUAACUAUGCACGUCUUGACGGUACCUAAUCAGAAAGCCACGGCUAACUACGUG
rnacentral:rRNA from 1 species